CCUACGGGAGGCAGCAGUGGGGAAUAUUGGACAAUGGGCGAAAGCCUGAUCCAGCCAUGCCGCGUGUGUGAAGGAGGUCUUCGGACUGUAAAGCACUUUAAGUUGGGAGGAAGGGCACUUACCUAAUACGUGAGUAUUUUGACGGUACCGACAGAAUAAGCACCGGCCAACUCUGUGCCAGCAGCCGCGGUAAU
rnacentral:rRNA from 1 species